rnacentral:tRNA from 2 species
GGAGGGAUGACCGAGCGGUUUAAGGUAACGGUCUUGAAAACCGUCGUGGCGCAAGUCACCGUGGGUUCGAAUCCCACUCCCUCCG